CAGCAGCCGCGGUAAUACGAAGGGUGCAAGCGUUACUCGGAAUUACUGGGCGUAAAGCGUGCGUAGGUGGUGGUUUAAGUCCGUUGUGAAAGCCCUGGGCUCAACCUGGGAAUUGCAGUGGAUACUGGGUCACUAGAGUGUGGUAGAGGAUAAUGGAAUUUCCGGUGUAGCAGUGAAAUGCGUAGAGAUCGGAAGGAACAUCUGUGGCGAAGGCGACUAUCUGGGCCAACACUGACACUGAGGCACGAAAGCGUGGGGAGCAAACAGGAUUAGAUACCCGGGUAGUCCCUGUCUCUUAUAC
rnacentral:rRNA from 1 species